UACAGAGGGUGCAAGCGUUAAUCGGAAUUACUGGGCGUAAAGCGUGCGUAGACGGUUGCGUAAGUCAGAUGUGAAAGCCCCGGGCUCAACCUGGGAAUUGCAUUUGAGACUGCGUAGCUAGGGUGCGGAAGAGGGAAGCGGAAUUUCUGGUGUAGCGGUGAAAUGCGUAGAUAUCGGAAGGAACACCAGUGGCGAAAGCGGCUUCCUGGUCCAGCACUGACGUUCAGGCACGAAAGCGUGGGGAGCAAACAGG
rnacentral:rRNA from 1 species